GCUGCUUGCAACAGUCGACAUUUCAAUAGUCCGACUCGAGCAGAAUUCCAAGCGUACGCGAGAGAGGCUUUGCGUUCGGCGAAACAAAGACACAGGAUGGCUACCCACGUACAGCGUGACAGGCAACAACGUGCCAGAACAGAACGCGAUUUUUGGAAAGACUCGCGCGACGACGAUCUAGAAAAUGCAGUAGAAGAAGAUGAUGCAGAGUCUAUUAUAAGCUCACAUGAUGAGGAGGAUUAAUUCAUAGGCUGCUUCGAAGACGUUCCGGGAAGUGCGUAGUCCUGAACCCCUAAUCUCUUAAGAGGAUGGGGGAUGUACGGAAAUGCUACGCAAAGAUACUGCAAGUUCGUGGGUUCCACUUGUGGGUUAGCGUGCUACCUCUACGUCCCACUAAAAAAAAAAAGAAUAAAGAAUGUAAUAAAAUCACGAGCUGUGAUGAUUAAACGCUGUAUGUUAUUUGCGGUUGCAACGUGUAUCACAGAAGUUACGUAUAAAAGGAAUUUCUUCUUAACAUCUUCUUAAUAACUUAAGUAACAAAAUAAUUCAUACCUUAUUUUCUCAGUUAUAGAUGCUGUUUCCUCACUCUGGAGAUGCACGCAGUUCUGCAUAUCUUUUAAUGGCGUUUGUGCAGUAGGAAGAUGAAGUACAGAGAGAGGGUAGCGAGAGACUAAAAAAAUCGCUGCAAAUUAACUUCAUCUUAUUGUGGAACAUAGAAAAAAAUGGUGCAGUAUUUAAAUUCUGGAUGCACGCAGCCUCAAGUAACAUCUAACCUAACAUAAACUUCCGCACGCACAGAAUCACCGAAGAUCACUCAUGUAAAUAAUGGCUCACACAUGUGUCACCGCAGCGCAUAGAGCGCAUUAGAGCGCAUUCACAAUAAGAAAAAGUAGAACCAAUCACUGGCCGGUAUUCAUAGUCCGUUCCUGUAUUUAAGAUCGUCUUAAGUAUCAUCUUAAGAUGUCAUCAAUCAAUCAGAAAGCUGUAUCAGCAUCUUAAGACAUUACUUAAGAUAAUCUUGAAAUAAGAAUCGACUAUGAAUACCGGCCACUGAGGCUAAUGUGUCACGAGCGGAAAUUUACAGGAAUAGCGUAACCAAUCACAAUUGUACAAUAAUUGCUUGGUUUUCUUUUCUGCGGUUGUAAUUGAUCGCGUUGUUCUGUUCCGCUGUAAGCUUCCGCUCAUGAAACACGGAAAUAUCUAAAAAUAAUUGAAAAUGCUAAUAGCGUUUUCGAUUGCAGCGGGUUUUAACCCAACCCGAGUUGGAUUAAUAAUGCUCUAAAACAUGCUCUAUUUCUAAAUUCUAAUUGAACGAUUUUAGCAUGUGGCGUCAUUAAACUUGUCAUUUUGAGUCCUACAAUAAGCCAUUAGUCGAUGGCAUAAGUUGUAAGCCAUAAAAAUUGACUAAUCACAGUCGAAUAUGAAGAGAAUAUUCAACUGUGAUUGAUCAAUUCUUAAGCCUGGUUUAUGCAGGCC